rnacentral:piRNA from 1 species
GAGUAUGUAGAAUAAGCAUCGUGUGU